GAACACAAAAUGGCGACACGUGGUUAGCAUUCGUCGCCAACGAGAAAUUGGGGUCGGCCCGAAAGCUCUAGAAUGCACCCCUAUUCCUCCCCGGGGCCAUUCCCGCUCAACGAGUUUUAUGACCUAAAAAACCCCACAGGCUGGUCUGAAGAUUUGGUAGCAUGGGCUGUUGUGCUGGAGAGAACGAGAGCUACGAAGAGACUAGAAUGCCUCUGACUUUUUCAUAGGACAGUUGGCCGAGGAAGACACUUAAAGAUGAAGUGCUUAAUUCAAGGUCACAGAAUGUCGGGGAUGGACCUCCAGAUUUCCUUACUGGAAAACAAGCUCAGGGCUCCCACUGAUUGUACAUUAUGAGACAGAGUCUUCUUGCUAUGUUGCCCAGGCUGGUCUUGAACUCCUAACCUCAAGCGAUCCUCCCAUCUUGGCCUCCCAGGUGUCAGGAUUACAGGCAUGUGCUAUCACACCCAACCUGAUACAUUGCCUUUAUAAAUUUUUUUUUCUUUAUUCUAAAAAACAGAAAAAACAAAACUGGAUACAUGUGCAGAACAUGCAGGUUUGUUACAUAGCUGUACGUGUGCCAUGGUGGUUUGCUGCACCUAUUGACCUAUCCUGUAAGUUCCCUCCCCUCACCCCCACCCCCCAACAGCCCU
rnacentral:antisense_RNA from 1 species